rnacentral:lncRNA from 1 species
CUUUCCAUCCCUCUCUUGUACACAUCCCUCAUUGUAUCGUUUAUAUGGUUUGAUUAAAGUAAUGAUCAGUGAGAACCGAUAUUUUAUUUGCCACAUCAGACACAGGCCGUCUUUACAUCUGCCAGUGGGGCUUUCAUCAUCACGGGCAGGGCACGUUGUGUUUGUGCACGUGUGCACGAGUGUACGAGCGGCACGUCUUCUUCCACAAUGUGACUGUGAAAUGACUAGGUCAUGCAAAAUUAAAGAAGAGAAAGCAAGCAAGAAUAUUAUGAGGUAAAAUGUUUAUUGAG